GACGAACGCUGGCGGCGUGCUUAACACAUGCAAGUCGAACGGAAAGGCCCUGCUUUUGUGGGGUGCUCGAGUGGCGAACGGGUGAGUAACACGUGAGUAACCUGCCCUUGACUUUGGGAUAACUUCAGGAAACUGGGGCUAAUACCGGAUAGGAGCUCCUGCUGCAUGGUGGGGGUUGGAAAGUUUCGGCGGUUGGGGAUGGACUGGAGGCUUAUCCGCUUGUUGGUGGGGUAGUGGCUUACCAAGGGUUUGACGGGUAGCCGGCCUGAGAGGUGUACCGGCGACAUUGGGACUACGAGACGGCGCAGACGCCAAUGGGAGGCAGCAGGGGAGAAUAUGGCACAAUGGGGGGAAGCCUGAGGCAGCAACGCCGGGAGCGGGAUGACGGCCUUCGGGGGAUAAACCGCUGUCGACGGUGACGAAGCGUGAGUGACGGUAAUGGGUAAAGAAGCACCGGCUAACUACGUG
rnacentral:rRNA from 1 species